UGCAGUCGAACGAUGAAGCCCUUCGGGGUGGAUUAGUGGCGAACGGGUGAGUAACACGUGGGCAAUCUGCCCUGCACUCUGGGACAAGCCCUGGAAACGGGGUCUAAUACCGGAUAUGACCAUCUUGGGCAUCCUUGAUGGUGUAAAGCUCCGGCGGUGCAGGAUGAGCCCGCGGCCUAUCAGCUUGUUGGUGAGGUAAUGGCUCACCAAGGCGACGACGGGUAGCCGGCCUGAGAGGGCGACCGGCCACACUGGGACUGAGACACGGCCCAGACUCCUACGGGAGGCAGCAGUGGGGAAUAUUGCACAAUGGGCGAAAGCCUGAUGCAGCGACGCCGCGUGAGGGAUGACGGCCUUCGGGUUGUAAACCUCUUUCAGCAGGGAAGAAGCGAAAGUGACGGUACCUGCAGAAGAAGCGCCGGCUAACUACGUGCCAGCAGCCGCGGUAAUACGUAGGGCGCAAGCGUUGUCCGGAAUUAUUGGGCGUAAAGAGCUCGUAGGCGGCUUGUCACGUCGAUUGUGAAAGCUCGGGGCUUAACCCCGAGUCUGCAGUCGAUACGGGCUAGCUAGAGUGUGGUAGGGGAGAUCGGAAUUCCUGGUGUAGCGGUGAAAUGCGCAGAUAUCAGGAGGAACACCGGUGGCGAAGGCGGAUCUCUGGGCCAUUACUGACGCUGAGGAGCGAAAGCGUGGGGAGCGAACAGGAUUAGAUACCCUGGUAGUCCACGCCGUAAACGGUGGGAACUAGGUGUUGGCGACAUUCCACGUCGUCGGUGCCGCAGCUAACGCAUUAAGUUCCCCGCCUGGGGAGUACGGCCGCAAGGCUAAAACUCAAAGGAAUUGACGGGGGGCCCGCACAAGCGGCGGAGCAUGUGGCUUAUUUCGACGCAACGCGAAGAACCUUACCAAGGCUUGACAUACACCGGAAAGCAUUAGAGAUAGUGCCCCCCUUGUGGUCGGUGUACAGGUGG
rnacentral:rRNA from 1 species